GCCCAAUCUCAUGGCAGUUGGUGAAAUGGUCACGGGAUUUAAUCUAUGGAUUUGUGUACAGUGUUGCUGUUCCUUU